rnacentral:lncRNA from 1 species
UUUUUUUUUUUUUUUCUUUUUCUUCGAGACAGGGUUUCUCUGUAUAGCCUUGGCUGUCCUGGAACUCACUUUGUAGAUCAGGCUGGCCUCGAACUCAGAAUUCUGCCUGCUUCUGCCUCUCAAGUACUGGGAUUAAAGGCAUGCACCACCAAGCCUGGCCUGAAUCACUUUUUUGACUAACAGAAAAACUGGAUUUGGGGUUGGAGAAACGGCUUAGUGGUUAAAAGUGCCCGAUGGGCAGCUAUGAAAACCAGAUUUUGGAUUUCAUUACCAGGAUAGCAAACCAGGUAUCCUAGGAAUGCCAUGUAAAUUCCAGCAACUCCCGUUCAGAGGCGAAUGGAUGCAGGAAGAUUGCUGCUGCUUGCUGGUAUUUAGCCCACCAGAGAAAACAUGUGACCUAGGAGAGAGACCCUGCCUUAAAGGAGGAGAUUGGUAGGGGAACACACAUCACAGCCUCUAUGUGUGUAUCUGCAUACACAUGUAUACAUAAACUCACAUGAUUUUAAUGAAAACUUUUGAAAAAGAAUAUUGUUACAUUGUAUAACUUUAUUUUUAAGAAAUGAUAAUUGAGUCUGGCAUGGAGGCACAUAUUUGUAAUCCUAGAACUCUGUAUUGAGACUUUCAGGCAAGCUGGGUAGUCAUUCGAAGGCAAAGGCAGGCAGAUCUCUGUGAGUUCAAGGCUACCCAGUGAGUUCCAGGGCAACCAAGGCUGUAUAGCAAAACCUGUCUCAAAAUAAAACAACAACAAAAACAAUAACACAGAGAUAGAUAGACACACACCACGCGUGAGUGCGCGCUCACACCCACCCACCAGCCUUUCUAGAGAGUUGUAGGCAAGCCUGUACUAGUACUAGGAGACCCUGCCUCAAAAAUAGUUAAAAACAGGAAAUGAUAAGUUGUACUACUGACUGAUGAUGCUCCGUUGAAAAAUCAUAAUAAUCAAAGCAGCGUUUUUACUUUAACUUCACUCCCUGUGCUAAUGUUCAUGCUGAAGUGACUUUCUUGUUUGUUUGUUUGUUUGUUUUUAGAGACAGGGUUUCUCUGAAUAGCCUUGGCUGUUCUGCAACUCACUCUGUAGACCAGGCUGACCUCGAACUCAGAAAUCCACCUGCCUCUGCAUCCCAAGUGCUGGGAUUAAAGGCAUGCCCUGCUGAAGUAACUUUCUUCUUGAUCCUUGGGUGUCAUUCAAGUUAUUUAAAUUUAAUCCAGAGGGCAAGACAGCUCCUUUUAUUUUCCACCACGUGUGGUUGUUUGGUCCUUCCUUCCAGUGACUUCCAUGGGAUGUGAUUGCUUCUUCAUUGUCAGCAUCGGUGUUGUCAAACAUAUUGUUUCAUUAACACAUUUGAGAAUUUAUAUGUGUGUGGUUCUGUACUGAGUAUAAUGAUCUUGGAGGGGCAGUGCCCUUGGUAUUAGUGGGUUAAACACUGUUAGAUGAUAAAUGUGGCACUUCCAACUUUAAAGCUCAUAAGAAAAGGUGUUUUCUUUUUAAUUU